UACACACUCAUAUAUGCAUAUAUCCAAACAUAUACAUGCACAUACAAACACCUACAUGUACACAUGUCCAUACACACAGAGACACAUGCAUACACAUCCAUACAUUACACACACAUGCACAAAAACAUACACACUCAAGGCUGCAAGGCCAUAGAAUUGCAGCUGUGCCAUAGCCACACUGGAUUGCUUCUGUCUUGUGCAUUAUUAUUGGCCCAUGAAACACCACUUCCUUCAUGAUCUCUGGACAGGAAAUGCACCCAGCAAUCUCUAGGAUCCAGCAAUGCUGCUGUGGCUCUCCCCACAGAAGAGCUCAGACAAAUGCAAGUAACAACUCCUGAGUCUUCGCAAAGGCAUCUGGGUGGGAGGCAGCCGUGAUAGCAACCCAUGUCACUGCUCUAAGAUCAGAUCUGAGCCAGGGAAUGCCAGCUGCUGGGUGGGGAGCCUAGCACACUGCACUGGCCAUGGGCUGUGGUGGCACCAACAUCUCAGGUGCCAGCGGCUGGCUCCCUUCGGCUAGCUUGCGCUGCCCCUAGCCACAGUGUGCCCGGCGUGUCCCCUUCCAGCCACUCACUCGUCCUCUGAUUUCCUUUUCCAGUCCUGACAGUGGCUUUGUGCACGGUGUGCUCCUUCACCAACUUGAUGCAGUGUGACCAGCACUCACACUCCUGUGACCAUACCUUUUCUGCUGAGGUGGACCAGAGCCUUCAUACUGUCCCCUCUGCAGUGUCAGCAACUGGAGCCAGGCGAGGCGCUGCCACUGCCCUUCCCAGUCUGAGCAGGUUGUCAAAGCUGAGAGAUCACCGCAGCUUCUCUCCACUGUGGACGAAGCUGGGUCAGGCUCAGGAAACCCUGCUCGUUAAACCGCAGGAGCCACCUGCUCCUCCCAAAGGCCAGGCUGAGCCAGGGAACCAGGGUUUGGAAGAAAGAGGUGGCUGAGUCCCAGCCACACAAGCCAAGGGAAAUGCGGUCUGUGGAGAUGAAGGAAGAAGUCGCUGCCCUUGAAUAAUUAAUUGCUUCAUCUCUUGAAAAACUGGUUUAUUAUCUCCAACGGAAGUGCUCCUGCUCUCCUCUGCCUGUGCCUGCGUGACAAUCAAACAGAUCUGCUCCGGCACCACAUCGCCUCUCCCUUCUUUAGACUUCUCUCCUGCACCUGAGACCGGGAGACAUUUUUCAUCACAGCUGGUUUAAAGGAACCACCCCAGCACACGUCCAGUCCCGAGCCCUGUCCCUCUCAGUGAACAUCCACACAGUCAAAAUGGCCAUUUGGAAGCUGUGGAGCUUUGCUUAGGAUUUUACACCUUUACCAUCAAGUCACUUUACUGAGGGAAGGGAUGGCAGGAACCUGGAGGCAAGAGCUGAAACAGAGGCCCGGGAGGAAAACCGUUCACCAGCUACUCCCUCGGCUCGCUCAGCUUGCUUUCUUAUACAUGACCCACAAUGGACGGAGCCUUCCACAUCAAUCAUCAAUCAGUUAAAUGCCCCUCACUAAUUAAGAAAAUGCCCAACAGGAUUAUCUCCAGGCCAAGAUUAUGGAGGCAUUUUUCUCAACUGAGGUUCUCUCCUCUCAGAUGAUUUUAGCUUGUGUCAAGUUGACAAAAGAUUAGCCAGCACAGAGGUGGUUUCAUGGUGUGAGCCUUCAGCCAGGCUCUCUGAUCGCCAAGCAGGAGACAUGGAAGGGAGUGGGAAGCAGGCUGUGUGACCACUGAUAUUCUUUGGUGCAAACUCCCUUCCCCAGGUAAGAAAUCUAGGCACUUACAAGUCUGUUAGCUUGAGAUUUCCCAGAGACUCGAUGGGGGCCUGUCCACAUCUGUGAGUGGGGAGGGGCUGCUGCCCCUGAGAUGGCCUGAGAAGCAGCUGAAUUAUAACACCACAUUCUUCUAGGGAUGUAAAUGCCAUCAGAACACACCACCUUCCCUGCAGUGGGAUCAGAUGAACUCACUCAGGACUGUGACAAUGGUAGCCUUGCUGGCAGCCGGAGAUAAGAAACUGACCUAUGAGGCAGAAGAAAAGCCAGCCACAUCAAAGAUGCUCAGAAAAGGAAUCUGCAGAGGGAGGAAAUGGGGAAGUCAUCAGCCUGUGACAGAUACUGAGAAGUCUCCUGCAGUGCUGUGGAGUUUGCUGUUGGCCUUGAAAAUGGCCUGCUUGUCUGUGGGAGGCACAGCAGGGCAGAGGUGCCUAGAGGACCAGAACCCAUGGCGGGCUCUGGAGGAGGACCAGAACCAUAGGCAGGCUCUGGAGGAGGAUCGGAACCAUAGGCAGGCUCUGGAGGAGGACCAGAGCCAUAGGCAGGCUCUGGAGGAAAACCUCAGCAGAAGAAUCAGCUGACUGUGAGCUAGUAUCCAGAGAGGCUACUGCAGAUGCCCUCCUAAGACCCUCCCAGGUGAACCACGGAAGGGUUAGUGUGUGGGACAUGAAUGGGGAGACCAGGGAACAAUCUCAGCUGUUGUUCCUCAGGCACAAUCCACUUUGUUUCAUUUCUUAUAUUAAUUUAUUCGUGUGUGAGAGUAGGGGGAGGGGCUCAUGCAUGCCACAUUUGCAUAUGGAGGUCAGAGGAGGUCAGGCUUGCAGGAGUUGGUUCUCUCCUUCUACCAUAAGGGGCCAGUAGAUCAAACUCAGCUCACCAGGCUUGGUGGUCCAACACAAUGGUUUCUAGACACGUUCUCCUAGGCUCGACUUUUCCAGGCAGACAAGGUUACUCUUGAAGUUACCCACCAGGGGUGGGAGGAUGGUGAAAUUCAAGUUUAGGGUAUUAAAAUGUGACAGAGGACUGUCACUAUGGGUUAGCAGAAAUGUGUUCUUUUACAAAUAAUUAUGGUUUAUAUGUAUGUGUGUGUGUGUGUGCACAGUGCACUGCACUCCAAGUGAAUAUGGGUGCUCAAGAGGCCAGCAGAGGGCGUCAGAUCCCUUAGAACUGGAUUCACAGGUGGUUGCAAAUGAAAGAGCCACCUGAUGUGGGUGCUGGGAACUAGGCUUGGGUCCUCUACAAGAGCAACAACUCUUGACUGCCAAGCCAUCUCUCCAGCCCCAGGCAUAAGUGUUCUUGUCUUGGGACUCUUGACCUGAGUCAGAUGAGCCCACAUGUGAGUUUCAUGGCUCACUUACUCCCCUAACACUGCACCAUCCCUCUCACCUGGGCAUCAGCGACAGAUACACUGGAGCAGACGAACAUUCACUCUCUGCUGUGACACCCCAGACCCUGGAGGGUUGGGGGAGAAGAAAUUGGAAAGAGUGACCCAUAGUAACCUCUUGGGCUGUCUGGGAAGCUGCCCCAGCAUGAACCACCUGUGCUCAGCUGCCAGCCUCUUGGGGUUACCCACCAGGGACCACAGGCCCAGACAGCCACAUCCUCAUAAACACCUAUUUUUGUCCACAUGAAUACACUCAACACUCAGAGCUGGAACUUUCUUGAGGCCUCAUCUAAACCUGACUUCUUAGAAUGUCAUUAGUUUGAAACACUACAUAAAAUGUUAGCUAGGGUAGAGAUGGGUCCCAAAAAAAGUGAAAUGAAUUAAAUUUAAAACUGUAGUUCACGUGACUGGGGAGUGACUGAGGUGAAUAAGAGCACUUGCUGUGAAAAUCCAAAUCCCCAACACUCUUGUAAAAGCCAAGCAAAGGGCUGGGCUCAGAGACAGGCAGACCCGGGGAGCUUGCUGGCCAGCCUAGCCAAAGGGAAGCUUCAUUUAGUGAGAGACCCUGUGUCAAGACAGUAGACAAUGACACUUUCGUUCUUCUCUAGCCUUCACAUGCACUUUGCCCAGGUGUGCAUACUCUUGCAUACAUAUGCAUACACCACACACACGAGCACACAUACACGUGCACACAUGCACAUGUGUGUGCCACAUACAUAAAAUAUAAUUUGUAUUUUAAGUUUAUAAUGAAGCUAAGGCCUGUGUUUCAUGUUCUCUUAUCUACAGUCUCGUGCCUUAUGCCUGUUUUCUACUGAGCACUUCCCCUUUCUUACUGCUUUAAUAGAAUUUCUAAUGUAUUUGGUAUCAAUGCUUCUCUGGGUUACAACUGUAAUGUGUCUUUUGAGGAUCUAGAAUUUUCAAACUUAUUCUUUAAGAUUGGCAUGUUAGCAUCUUAAGUAUGGCAUUCUUCGAUCUUUUGAAAUUACUAAAAUAUGACAUUUUCCAUAUUUAAUUGACUCUGACCAUUGCUCUUCCCUUGGUAAACCACCGCACCAACUUUUGCACCUGAGAUCAAAAACCGUCUCCUCACAGUCAUACAAAGCAACUAAUACAGCCAAGACCCUGGGAAUACCAAGCUCAGACCCCAUGCUCUGCAAAUACUUCCAGCCUGUGAGAACCCAAGAUUACAACCUGGUCCUAAGUAUGGCCCUAAAACUCCAUUCCAGCCAACUCCCUGUACAAAGAACAUGUGUGAAUGUAAAAUUUUGGAAAAUGAGAGAGAGAAUAAAGAGUGAUCUGUGUCCUCAAGGAAGGUUCUGGCACCAUGGAGGUCUGUCUGGAGGGUUUUCACUUUCUUCUCUCUUCUUACACGGUUCUCUCAUUCUGCUAGAUAAUCUGUGUGCUUCUUUAGACCAUGUUUUUAAAAGACUUGUGGAGACAUUACCAAGCAUUUGCUAAACGAGGGAAGAGAAGCUCUGUGACUCUACGUUACCAGGAAUGGAGGUGUGUUCCUUCUAAACUAAGGACAAUCAAAAUAACUGAGUAAAUGAAAAGAAAGAAGAGAAAUCAGUGCACUGAGGGGUUGGCACACAGAGUACAUGAAAGACAUCAAUGAAGGCUCUUGACAGAUGAGUAAAUACCACUCAAAGGUCAAGGUGUUCAGAGCUUUCACUGUCCAGAGCACACGGAGAAACUGUUAGGAAACAAUGACGCUCUUUGAGUCAUUAUGAAAAUUAACAUCAUGGAAAGAGAAGACAAGAGGAAGGAGAGAGAAUGGCAUGGAGUCUGAACAGAUGAGGAAGACAAGCCUACAAGGUCAGGCUCGUCUAAGCUGCCACAUGCAUACAGAAGCCUGCACAGGUGUGCCCACACAUAACAGGAUGUAUGUGCACACACGGGAUACCUAAAGAACAAGAAAGCAGAGCUGCUUGCUAUAGGAACACACAUAGGCCAACUGCAAAGCAAUUUUCUAAUGAGCCAAACUUUCUGACCCAUGCUGAUAUGAGAGGAAGAUGAGCAUAACUGAGAGCAUGUUCCAGUGUUCACAGUGGCUUCUGAGUUCCAUCACACCUGUCCUGAGUGCACAGUCCACAGAGACAUUCCCAAGCCCCAUGUGAGUGGAGGAUGAGCAUAACUGAGAACAUGUUCCAGUGUUCACAGUGGCUUCUGAGUUCCAUCACACCUGUCCUGAGUGCACAGUCCACAGAGACAUUCCCAAGCCCCAUGUGAGUGGAGGAUGAGCAUAACUGAGAACAUGUCCCAGCAUUCACAGUGGCUUCUGAGUUCCAUCACAUCUGUCCUGAGUGCACAGUGCACAGACAGAGACAUUCCCAAGCCCCAUCCUAGCAAGAGAAGCCACUGUGUGAGACAGUGGUCAGGUUAUGGGCAUGUGAAGAAAAACUCAUUAUCCCCCGAGGGAUUGAGCCUGGAGAACAGGUACUCUUGCUCCAUCAGAUGCAGAGAACCUGGAGCUCUAACUUACUUUUUCAAAGGAAAGAGGAAAAGGAUGGGGUGAAGAUGACAAGGAGCUGGAGGAUGGUGGGGAGGAGAGGAGAGGGGAGCUCGGACAAUGCUUCAGGGUCUGCUCAGUUCUAGAAGCAUAGCAGGCUCUCUUCACCUCGCACUUGAUUUGUCUCAAGCCCCAAGCCCCAAAUUCAUGCCACCCACCACACACAUGCAUCUGUAUAUGUACUGUGUGGGCCAUAUGUGUGCUCUGGGCAUUUGUGUGUACAAUGUAUGUGUACAUGUGAAUACCAUGUGUGCCACUUCAAUAACAUUGUGCACCAAGCAUGCACCAUGUGUGUGUGUUGUGUGUAUACCAUGUACAUGCCACAAGUGCCAUCUAUGUACAUGUGUAGAAUAGGUUGUACCAUGUGUGUGUAUUAUGCAUGUCUAACACGUAUGGUGUAUAUAGCACAUGUAUACUGUGUAUGUGCCAUGUGUAUGCCAUAGCAUGUGUACAACAGAUACGAGCCAAAUAUACACCAUAUAUAUUCUAUAUGAGCCAUUAAUGUGCCAUGUGUGCCCCAUGUGCAUAGUGCUACGUGUACGGUAUCCCAAGCAGCUGUGUCCCCCAAGUAGCUGCACCCUCAGUCCUGCUGUGCCUCAGCUUCUGAUGCCACAGGUGGCCCUCGUGACACAGGAGAGCCCUAGAGAGAAGGAGCUCUUCACAAACUUGAAUUACACUCACUCACUUUGCAAAUGAAGAAAUAACAGACAGGUGGUGGUAGAGUACAAUCAGGACAGCUGCUCCUCAUGCUGUAACUGUCUUUUACAAUAAUAACGAUGCUCCUCUUGGUUGAGAUUCAUGUAAAAGUCCAUAUUGUCACUUAACAGUAAACAAUAACCUGAAAA